UUCUAGGCUAGAGGCCAAUCAUAUGUUUAACCAUGAGGUGAUUGUUACUCUUAGACUGUUUGGCUCGGUCUUGCUUGUGGGGGAAUUCGACCACAACACAUUCUCUCAUACAUUUUCAUCACAUAUAAUGAUAUCUAACGUUUCUCCUGAUGCAUCCAUGGUUUGCCUCCACAGAUGAAGAAUCUUGACUCGGACACGCCUAUUCGUUUUGAAAGGCUUGACAUCACUAAGAUACGUUAAACCUAACGGUAAUGUCAUUGAUUAUGUGUAUAGAUGAGAAAGAAAAGUGAUGCUUUAGAAUUGAUGAUAUUGCUUGAGUAUUUAUACGGUUAGGAUUUGGUUCUUAAACCCUAGAGCAACACCGGAUUUUUUUAUACAUGAAAUCAUAACUAAAUAUACUAUCUCAAUAGAAUAUAGGAAUCUUCCUUAAUUGGUUGUGAUUUGCAGAUAUCUUCAAGAAACAGUGAAUAUCUUGGAAAGGAGGCAAAAUAUUGAGCAAGAAAUGUUAAGAAAGAGUGGUUACUGACGUGCAAAUGGGCCAACUGUGAUCAAAACGCCAAAUAAGAAAUAGAAUCGAGCCCCAUUAGAUAGAAACAGGAUCUCCGCGUCUGUUUAACAGGUCAGUUACGGGCGCGACUCAAGUCGGCUGCGAAGAGCACAGAUAAUGACGGUUUUAUCCUUUAU
rnacentral:sRNA from 1 species